rnacentral:piRNA from 1 species
UUGAAAUGUAAAUGCAUGUCUUAAGCUUA